GACGAACGCUGGCGGCGUGCUUAACACAUGCAAGUCGAACGGAAAGGCCCUGCUUUUGUGGGGUGCUCGAGUGGCGAACGGGUGAGUAACACGUGAGUAACCUGCCCUUGACUUUGGGAUAACUUCAGGAAACUGGGGCUAAUACCGGAUAGGAGCUCCUGCUGCAUGGUGGGGGUUGGAAAGUUUCGGCGGUUGGGGAUGGACUCGCGGCUUAUCAGCUUGUUGGUGGGGUAGUGGCUUACCAAGGCUUUGACGGGUAGCCGGCCUGAGAGGGUGACCGGCCACAUUGGGACUGAGCUACGGCCCAGACUCCUACGGGAGGCAGCAGUGGGGAAUAUUGCACAAUGGGCGGAAGCCUGAUGCAGCAACGCCGCGUGCGGGAUGACGGCCUUCGGGUUGUAAACCGCUUUCGCCUGUGACGAAGCGUGAGUGACGGUAAUGGGUAAAGAAGCACCGGCUAACUCCGUG
rnacentral:rRNA from 1 species